UCAGAUGGGGCACCCUGGCAUGCAUUAUGCCCCAAUGGGAAUGCACCCUAUGGGUCAGAGAGCGAAUAUGCCUCCUGUACCUCAUGGAAUGAUGCCGCAGAUGAUGCCCCCUAUGGGAGGGCCACCAAUGGGACAAAAAGAUAAAAUAAAACAAUUUGCUACUGCCAGAUGCUUCUCUCUUUUCUGGGGCCUUCUGUUUCCAUUGGGCCAAUCAAGAUGCCUGGAAUGAUGUCGUCAGUAAUGCCUGGAAUGAUGAUGUCUCAUAUGUCUCAGGCUUCCAUGCAGCCUGCCUUACCGGUAAUCAUGUGAAAAUAACUAUUUUCUGUGAAGUAAUGUUUUGAUUGAUUGCUUUUAUAUAUGGAAUAAUAUCUGUGUACUUUAUAGGCAAUCAUGUUAGCUGUUGAAGUGCCUCUGUAGUACUGUAAUAAUAUACGAGAAUUACCGUGGACUUCCAGUUUCAGUUUCUUUUCUUUUCUUUGUUUUUUUGAGACAGAGUCUUGCUCUGUCACCUAGUCUGGAGUGCAGUGAGUGUCAUGAUAACAGCUCACUACAGCCUCAACCUCGUGGGCUCAAGUAAUCCUCCGACCUCAGCCUUCUGAGUAGCUGAGACCACAGGCACGUGCCACCAUGCCGAGCUAAUUUUUAAAUUUUUUUUGUAGAGAUGAGAUCUCCCUGUGUUGCCCAAGCUGGUCUCAAACUCUUGAGCUCAAAUGAUCCUCCUGCCUCAGCGUCCCACAGGGAUGACAGGCAUGAGCCACUGUGCUUGUCCCGGAU
rnacentral:sRNA from 1 species